UCCUAACUCAGGACUCUUGAUCCUGUGUGC
rnacentral:piRNA from 1 species